AGGAGAUCCAACCAGUCCAUCCUAAAGGAAAUCAGUGCUGAAUAUUCAUUGGAAGGACUGAUGCUGAAGCUGAAGCUCCAAUACUUUGGCCACCUGAUGGGCAGAGCUGAUUCAUUGGAAAAGACCCUGAUGCUGGGAAAGAUUGAGGGCAGGAGGAGAAGAAGACGACAGAGG